GCGAAUAUGAUGUAGUGGUAGCCUAUCACCUUGCCAUGGUGAUCGUGCGGGUUCGAUUCCCGCUAUUCGCUC
rnacentral:tRNA from 2 species